AGAGUUUGAUCCUGGCUCAGAGUGAACGCUGGCGGUAGGCCUAACACAUGCAAGUCGAACGGCAGCACAGAGGAGCUUGCUCCUUGGGUGGCGAGUGGCGGACGGGUGAGGAAUACAUCGGAAUCUACUUUUUCGUGGGGGAUAACGUAGGGAAACUUACGCUAAUACCGCAUACGACCUACGGGUGAAAGCAGGGGAUCUUCGGACCUUGCGCGAUUGAAUGAGCCGAUGUCGGAUUAGCUAGUUGGCGGGGUAAAGGCCCACCAAGGCGACGAUCCGUAGCUGGUCUGAGAGGAUGAUCAGCCACACUGGAACUGAGACACGGUCCAGACUCCUACGGGAGGCAGCAGUGGGGAAUAUUGGACAAUGGGCGCAAGCCUGAUCCAGCCAUACCGCGUGGGUGAAGAAGGCCUUCGGGUUGUAAAGCCCUUUUGUUGGGAAAGAAAUCCAGCCGGCUAAUACCUGGUUGGGAUGACGGUACCCAAAGAAUAAGCACCGGCUAACUUCGUGCCAGCAGCCGCGGUAAUACGAAGGGUGCAAGCGUUACUCGGAAUUACUGGGCGUAAAGCGUGCGUAGGUGGUUAUUUAAGUCCGUUGUGAAAGCCCUGGGCUCAACCUGGGAACUGCAGUGGAUACUGGAUGACUAGAAUGUGGUAGAGGGUAGCGGAACUCCUGGUGUGGCAGUGAAAUGCGUAGAGAUCAGGAGGAACAUCCAUGGCGAAGGCAGCUACCUGGACCAACAUUGACACUGAGGCACGAAAGCGUGGGGAGUAAACAGGAUUAGAUACCCUGGUAGUCAAGGGCG
rnacentral:rRNA from 1 species